UGGAUCUCGAUGGGUGACAGCGGAGGAUCAUUACCGAGUUUACAACUCCCAAACCCCUGUGAACAUACCACUUGUUGCCUCGGCGGAUCAGCCCGCUCCCGGUAAAACGGGACGGCCCGCCAGAGGACCCCUAAACUCUGUUUCUAUAUGUAACUUCUGAGUAAAACCAUAAAUAAAUCAAAACUUUCAACAACGGAUCUCUUGGUUCUGGCAUCGAUGAAGAACGCAGCAAAAUGCGAUAAGUAAUGUGAAUUGCAGAAUUCAGUGAAUCAUCGAAUCUUUGAACGCACAUUGCGCCCGCCAGUAUUCUGGCGGGCAUGCCUGUUCGAGCGUCAUUUCAACCCUCAAGCACAGCUUGGUGUUGGGACUCGCGUUAAUUCGCGUUCCUCAAAUUGAUUGGCGGUCACGUCGAGCUUCCAUAGCGUAGUAGUAAAACCCUCGUUACUGGUAAUCGUCGCGGCCACGCCGUUAAACCCCCAACUUCUGAAUGUUGACCUCGGAUCAGGUAGGAAUACCCGCUGAACUUAAGCAUAUCAUAGGCGGGGAAGGA
rnacentral:rRNA from 1 species